AUUGAACGCUGGCGGCAUGCCUUACACAUGCAAGUCGAACGGCAGCACGGGUGCUUGCCCCUGGUGGCGAGUGGCGAACGGGUGAGUAAUACAUCGGAACAUGUCCUGUAGUGGGGGAUAGCCCGGCGAAAGCCGGAUUAAUACCGCAUACGAUCUACGGAUGAAAGCGGGGGACCUUCGGGCCUCGCGCUUUAGGGUUGGCCGAUGGCUGAUUAGCUAGUUGGGGGGGUAAAGGCCUAACAAGGCGACGAUCAGUAGCUGGUCUGAGAGGACGACCAGCCACACUGGGACUGAGACACGGCCCAGACUCCUACGGGAGGCAGCAGUGGGGAAUUUUGGACAAUGGGCGAAAGCCUGAUCCAGCAAUGCCGCGUGUGUGAAGAAGGCCUUCGGGUUGUAAAGCACUUUUGUCCGGAAAGAAAUCCUUGGCCCUAAUACGGUCGGGGGAUGACGGUACCGGAAGAAUAAGCACCGGCUAACUACGUG
rnacentral:rRNA from 1 species